rnacentral:rRNA from 1 species
AGUGAACGCUGGCGGUAGGCCUAACACAUGCAAGUCGAACGGCAGCACAGUAAGAGCUUGCUCUUACGGGUGGCGAGUGGCGGACGGGUGAGGAAUACAUCGGAAUCUACUUUUUCGUGGGGGAUAACGUAGGGAAACUUACGCUAAUACCGCAUACGACCUACGGGUGAAAGCAGGGGAUCUUCGGACCUUGCGCGAUUGAAUGAGCCGAUGUCGGAUUAGCUAGUUGGCGGGGUAAAGGCCCACCAAGGCGACGAUCCGUAGCUGGUCUGAGAGGAUGAUCAGCCAAACUGGCACUGAGACACGGUCCAGACUCCUACGGGAGGCAGCAGUGGGGAAUAUUGGACCAUGGGCGCAAGCCUGAUCCAGCCAUACCGCGUGGGUGAAGAAGGCCUUCGGGUUGUAAAGCCCUUUUGUUGGGAAAGAAAAGCAGCAGGUUAAUACCCCGCUGUUCUGACGGUACCCAGAGAAUAAGCACCGGCUAACUUCGUG